AUGUUUACUUUGGCAGCACGUAUACUAAAAUUGGAACUACAUGGAGAAGAUUAGCUUGGCCCCUGCACAAGGAUGACACACAAAUUCAUGAAGCAUUCCAUAUUAUG